UACGUAGGCAGCAAGCGUUGUUCGGAGUUACUGGGCGUAAAGAGUAUGUAGGCGGUUGCGUAAGUUCGGUGUGAAAUCUCCCGGCUUAACUGGGAGGGUGCGCCGAAAACUGCGUGGCUAGAGUUCGGUAGGGGAGACUGGAAUUCCUGGUGUAGCGGUGAAAUGCGCAGAUAUCAGGAGGAACACCGGUGGCGAAGGCGGGUCUCUGGGCCGAAACUGACGCUGAGGAGCGAAAGCGUGGGGAGCGAACAGG
rnacentral:rRNA from 1 species